rnacentral:rRNA from 1 species
GCUAGUAAUGGCAGGUCAGCAUACUGCCGUGAAUACGUUCCCGGGCCUUGUACACACCGCCCGUCACACCAUGAGAGUUGGAAAUACCCGAAGCCUGUGAGCUAACCUUAUAGGAGGCAGCAGUCGAAGGUAGAGCCAAUGAUUGGGGUGAAGUCGUAACAAGGUAUC